rnacentral:misc_RNA from 1 species
AAGUCGUAACAAGGUUUCCGUAGGUGAACCUGCGGAAGGAUCAUUACCGAGUUAGGGUAGUCACUUCCUGCCCGACCUCCCAACCCUUUGUUUACUGAACCUCUGUUGCUUCGGCGGGCCCGUCUCACGACCGCCGGAGGACCGCCGACAGGUGUCCUCUGGCCCGUGUCCGCCGACAGCCAAGCUCUCAAAACUCUGUAUGAAUCGUGUCCUUUAUCUCUAAGUCUAUGAUUUAAACAAAUCAAAAAGCAAAACUUUCAACAACGGAUCUCUUGGUUCUG